rnacentral:rRNA from 1 species
AAUAUUGGUCAAUGGGCGCAAGCCUGAACCAGCCAUGCCGCGUGAAGGAUGACAGCGCUACGCGUUGUAAACUUCUUUUGUACAGGAAGAAACCCUGCUACGUGUAGCAGUUUGACGGUACUGUACGAAUAAGCAUCGGCUAACUCCGUGCCAGCAGCCGCGGUAAUACGGAGGAUGCAAGCGUUAUCCGGAUUUAUUGGGUUUAAAGGGUACGUAGGCGGAAACUUAAGUCAGUAGUGAAAUCCUGCAGCUUAACUGUAGAACUGUUAUUGAUACUGGGUUUCUUGAAUAUAGUUGAGGUAGGCGGAAUGUGUAAUGUAGCGGUGAAAUGCUUAGAUAUUACACAGAACACCGAUUGCGAAGGCAGCUUACUAAGCUAUGAUUGACGCUGAGGUACGAAAGCGUGGGGAGCGAACAGGAUUAGAUACCCUGGUAGUCCACGCUGUA